rnacentral:rRNA from 1 species
UACGAAGGGGGCUAGCGUUGUUCGGAAUUACUGGGCGUAAAGCGCACGUAGGCGGAUCGAUCAGUCAGGGGUGAAAUCCCAGGGCUCAACCCUGGAACUGCCUUUGAUACUGUCGAUCUGGAGUAUGGAAGAGGUAAGUGGAAUUCCGAGUGUAGAGGUGAAAUUCGUAGAUAUUCGGAGGAACACCAGUGGCGAAGGCGGCUUACUGGUCCAUUACUGACGCUGAGGUGCGAAAGCGUGGGGAGCAAACAGGG